GCUCUAGAACUAGUGGAUCCCCCGGGCUGCAGCCCAAUGUGGAAUUCGCCCUUUUCCGGUUGAUCCUGCCGGACCUGACUGCUAUCGGAAUGAUACUAAGCCAUGCGAGUCAUUGUAGCAGUACAAGGCAGACGGCUCAGUAACGCGUAGUCAAUCUACCCUGUGGACGGGAAUAACCUCGGGAAACUGAGAAUAAUACCCGAUAGAGCAUUACGCCUGGAAUGGUUUAUGUUUCAAAUGAUUUAUCGCCAUAGGAUGGGACUGCGGCCUAUCAGUUUGUUGGUGAGGUAAUGGCCCACCAAGACUAUUACAGGUACGGGCUCUGAGAGGAGUAGCCCGGAGAUGGGUACUGAGACACGGACCCAGGCCCUAUGGGGCGCAGCAGGCGAGAAAACUUUGCAAUGUGCGAAAGCACGACAAGGUUAAUCCGAGUGGUUUCUGCUAAAGAAACCUUUUGCCAGUCCUAGAAACACUGGUGAAUAAGGGGUGGGCAAGUUCUGGUGUCAGCCGCCGCGGUAAAACCAGCACCUCAAGUGGUCAGGAUGAUUAUUGGGCCUAAAGCAUCCGUAGCUCGUUUUGUAAGUUUUCGGUUAAAUCCAUGCGCUCAACGUAUGGGCUGCCGGGAAUACUGCAUAACUAGGAAGUGGGAGAGGUAGACGGUACUCGGUAGGAAGGGGUAAAAUCCUUUGAUCUAUUGAUGACCACCUGUGGCGAAGGCGGUCUACCAGAACACGUUCGACGGUGAGGGAUGAAAGCUGGGGGAGCAAACCGGAUUAGAUACCCGGGGUAGUCCCAGCUGUAAACUAUGCAAACUCAGUGAUGCAUUGGCUUGUGGCCAAUGCAGUGCUGCAGGGAAGCCGUUAAGUUUGCCGCCUGGGAAGUACGUACGCAAGUAUGAAACUUAAAGGAAUUGGCGGGGGAGCACCACAAGGGGUGAAGCCUGCGGUUCAAUUGGAGUCAACGCCAGAAAUCUUACCCGGAGAGACAGCAGAAUGAAGGUCAAGCUGAAGACUUUACCAGACAAGCUGAGAGGUGGUGCAUGGCCGUCGCCAGCUCGUGCCGUAAGAUGUCCUGUUAAGUCAGGUAACGAGCGAGAUCCCUGCCUCUAGUUGCCACCAUUACUCUCAGGAGUAGUGGGGCGAAUUAGCGGGACCGCCGCAGUUAAUGCGGAGGAAGGAAGGGGCCACGGCAGGUCAGUAUGCCCCGAAACUCUGGGGCCACACGCGGGCUGCAAUGGUAGUGACAAUUGGUUCCGAAUCCGAAAGGAGGAGGUAAUCCUCAAACGCUACCACAGUUAUGACUGAGGGCUGCAACUCGCCCUCACGAAUAUGGAAUCCCUAGUAACUGCGUGUCAUUAUCGCGCGGUGAAUACGUCCCUGCUCCUUGCACACACCGCCCGUCGUUUCAUUGAAGUUUGCUUUUAGCGAGGUGACGUCUGAUUGGCGUUAUCGAACUUGAGGUAAGUGACAAGGGAAAAGUCGUAACAAGGUAACCAAGGGCGAAUUCCACAGUGGAUAUCAAGCUUAUCGAUACCGUCGACCUCGA
rnacentral:rRNA from 1 species